UGAGUAAAUGGUUAUUUAUUUUAUCUAUAUUUAAUGCUUUAUAUAUGUAUAGCAGGAUUUAAUGUGACAGAAAAUCUGAAAAAUAUUGUAAAAUUUUUCUAGGAACUAAACAAGGCCCGGUCAUAAACCAGAAGAUCAGCUACCGUACCACCAUCCAAUUAGACUGCUCGAAUAAAAGUUUUACAGAAAACACCUACAGUUUUUGCAAAGUACUGCAACACGUAUUUAGGCCUUGGCCUUGUUUAGAUGUGAAAAAGAUUUGGAUUUCGCUACUGUAGCACUUUCGUUUGUUUGUGGUAAAUAUUGUUCAAUCAUAGAGUAACUAAGGUCAAAAGAUUCGUCUCGCGAUUUACAGUCAAGUGUGAUUAGUUUUUAUUUUCGUCUAUAUUUAAUGCUUUG
rnacentral:lncRNA from 1 species